UACAGAGGAGGCAAGCGUUGUUCGGAAUCAUUGGGCUUAAAGCGCGCGUAGGCGGCUCCGCAAGUGUCGUGUGAAAUCCCCCGGCUCAACCGGGGAACGGCUCGGCAAACUGCGGGGCUUGAGGUCGGUAGAGGUGCCUGGAACUCUAGGUGGAGCGGUGAAAUGCGUAGAUAUCUAGAGGAACGCCUGAGGCGAAAUCGGGGCACUGGGCCGAUUCUGACGCUGAUGCGCGAAAGCGUGGGGAGCAAACAGG
rnacentral:rRNA from 1 species